UUUCCCGUUGUUUUGAGUAGUAUAGGUAUUAGUAGAGUGUGCUAAUACUGUGAUUGAUUAAUUGGCAUGACAUGAUAUGAUUAUGUGAUAAAUAUGCUGAUGAUGUGUGAAAAUAUGCAUAAUGUUGUGAAUGUAUAUAUUAUGCAUGUGUUGGUGAAUGGACUGUUGAUUGGCUUAGAGUGUGAGCAUAUGUCCAUUGUGGAUUGUUGUUGAUGAUGUUGCAUUGCUAGGUGAAUUAGCAUGCAUAUUGUGGCCUUUAUGGUGGUAGCUAAUUCCCAUGGUGAGGAAUUAGUGAGUAAAUCAUUGUAGAUUGUUGUUGAUGUUUGCAUGCUAGGUGAUUAGCGUGCAUAGCAUGGCCCUUGGGGUGGUAGCUAAUUCCCAUGGUGAGGAAUUAGUGAGUGAGUCACUAGGUCUCAAAUGAGUGGGACUAGUGGGCUUGGUAGCCGUACCUGGAUUUGGUCGGUGAGGUUGAACUAUAUGUUCACGAAUAGUCGGUACCGCAUGCAUGGAGUCUCAUUGCAUAAUGUAUGUAUGGCGUAUGAUAUGAAUGGAUGUAUUCCAGUAUUAUACGUGUGUUGUGUGUUGUGUGUUGUGUUGAUGUUGAGUAUGAUUGAGUUGAUAUUGUCGUUGCUGAAUGGGUAAUCUGAUUUGGGUGAUGAAAUGUGUUAAAUUACUUAACAUUGCAUGAUAUUUUAUAAUGCUUAUUAUAUCGAUUGAGGAACUCACCCUUACAACUGUUUU
rnacentral:lncRNA from 1 species